rnacentral:rRNA from 1 species
AUACGGAGGAUCCAAGCGUUAUCCGGAUUUAUUGGGUUUAAAGGGAGCGCAGGCGGAGAUGCAAGCGUGACGUCAAAUUUCGGGGCUCAACCCCGUCUCGCGUCGCGAACUGCGUCCCUUGGUUGCGGGAAGGGGAGGCGGAACUCGUGGUGUAGCGGGGAAAUGCAUAGAUAUCACGAAGAACUCCGAUCGCGAAGGCAGCCUUCCGGCCCGUCAACGACGCUCAUGCUCGAAGGUGCGGGUAUCAAACAGGAUUAGAUACCCUGGUAGUCCGCACAGUAAACGAUGGACACCCGCGGUUUGGCCUAUAUGGCUGAGCCGCCAAGCGAAAGCGUUAAGUGUCCCACCUGGGGAGUACGCCGGCAACGGUGAAACUCAAAGGAAUUGGCGGGG